GGGUGAGUAACACGUGAGUAACCUGCCUGACUUUGGGAUACUUCAGGAAACUGGGGCUAAUACCGGAUAGGAGCUCCUGCUGCAUGGUGGGGGUUGGAAAGUUUCGGCGGUUGGGGGAUGGACUCGCGGCUUAUCAGCUUGUUGGUGGGGUAGUGGCUUGCCAAGGCUUUGACGGGUAGCCGGCCUGAGAGGGGUGACCGGCCACAUUGGGACUGAGAUACGGCCCAGACUCCUACGGGAGGCAGCAGUGGGGAAUAUUGCACAAUGGGCGGAAGCCUGAUGCAGCAACGCCGCGUGCGGGAUGACGGCCUUCGGGUUGUAAACCGCUUUCGCCUGUGACGAAGCGUGAGUGACGGUAAUGGGUAAAGAAGCACCGGCUAACUACGUGCCAGCAGCCGCGGUGAUACGUAGGGUGCGAGCGUUGUCCGGAUUUAUUGGGCGUAAAGGGCUCGUAGGUGGUUGAUCGCGUCGGAAGUGUAAUCUUGGGGCUUAACCGUGAGCGUGAUUUCGAUACGGGUUGACUUGAGGAAGGUAGGGGAGAAUGGAAUUCCUGGUGGAGCGGUGGAAUGCGCAGAUAUCAGGAGGAACACCAGUGGCGAAGGCGGUUCUCUGGGCCUUUCCUGACGCUGAGGAGCGAAAGCGUGGGGAGCGAACAGGCUUAGAUACCCUGGUAGUCCACGCUGUAAACGGUGGGUACUAGGUGUGGGGUCCAUUCCACGGGUUCCGUGCCGUAGCUAACGCUUUAAGUACCCCGCCUGGGGAGUACGGCCGCAAGG
rnacentral:rRNA from 1 species